UGGCGGACGGGUGAGUAACGCGUGGGUAACCUGCCCUGUACAGGGGGAGUAACAGCUGGAAACGGCUGCUAAUACCGCAUAAGCGCACGAGGAGACAUCUCCUUGUGUGAAAAACUCCGGUGGUACAGGAUGGGCCCGCGUCUGAUUAGCUGGUUGGCAGGGUAACGGCCUACCAAGGCAACGAUCAGUAGCCGGUCUGAGAGGAUGAACGGCCACAUUGGAACUGAGACACGGUCCAAACUCCUACGGGAGGCAGCAUG
rnacentral:rRNA from 1 species